UACGGGGGGGGCAAGCGUUGUUCGGAAUUACUGGGCGUAAAGGGCGCGUAGGCGGCCUGCUAAGUCGGACGUGAAAUCCCUCGGCUCAACCGGGGAACUGCGUCCGAUACUGGCGAGGCUUGAAUCCGGGAGAGGGAUGUGGAAUUCCAGGUGUAGCGGUGAAAUGCGUAGAUAUCGGGAGGAACACCUGUGGCGAAAGCGGCUCACUGGACCACAACUGACGCUGAGGCGCGAAAGCUAGGGGAGCAAACAGG
rnacentral:rRNA from 1 species